rnacentral:rRNA from 1 species
UACGUAGGGACCAAGCGUUGUUCGGAUUUACUGGGCGUAAAGGGCGCGUAGGCGGUCAGCACAAGUCAGUUGUGAAAUCUCCGAGCUUAACUCGGAACGGUCAACUGAUACUGUGCGACUAGAGUGCGGAAGGGGCAACUGGAAUUCUCGGUGUAGCGGUGAAAUGCGUAGAUAUCGAGAGGAACACCUGCGGCGAAGGCGGGUUGCUGGGCCGACACUGACGCUGAUGCGCGAAAGCCAGGGGAGCGAACGGG